GGGCUUAUAGUUUAAUUGGUUGAAACGUACCGCUCAUAACGGUGAUAUUGUAGGUUCGAGCCCUACUAAGCCUAUACCACCCC
rnacentral:tRNA from 1 species